rnacentral:rRNA from 1 species
AUUGAACGCUGGCGGCAGGCCUAACACAUGCAAGUCGAACGAGUGGCGGACGGGUGAGUAAUGUCUGGGAAACUGCCUGAUGGAGGGGGAUAACUACUGGAAACGGUAGCUAAUACCGCAUACCAUCAGAUGUGCCCAGAUGGGAUUGGCUAGUUGGUGGGGUAACGGCUCACAAAGGCGACGAUCCCUAGCUGGUCUGAGAGGAUGACCAGCCACACGGGAACUGAGACACGGUCCAGACUCCUCGGGGAGGCAGAAGUGGGGAACAUUGCACAUGGGGCGAAAGCUUGAUGCAGCAAUGCCGCGUGUAUGAAGAAGGCCUUCGGGUUGUAAAGUACGUUCAGCGGGGAGGCGUUACCCGAAGAAGAAGCACCGGCUAACUCCGUGCCAGCAGCCGCGGUAAUAC